GGCAAAAACACAGAGCAUCAAUCCCCUCAUUUCAGAAAUAAAUCCUUCAAACUAUCCAGAGAAGGGCCAGUUGAGACCACAAAAUGAGGAGUGUCCCUGAGGAAGGCAAUGAGCUCCAUUGUGACUGUAGGAGCAGGCACCCCUAAAGCUAGAAUAGGAUUAAGACGCAUUAUACCUGUCUAUUCUCACAGACCAAUCACUGUUGUUGUCAGAGGCAGCACUGCGCAGUGGGCCAGCCAUCCGGAGCAGAGCGGUAAAGACCUAGGCUCUCUAUAAGCCGUCUAAAUAUACACUGCUCAAAAAAAUAAAGGGAAAACUAAAAUAACACAUCCUAGAUCUGAAUGAAUGAUAUAUUAUUAUUAAAUAAUUUUUUCUUUACAUAGUUGAAUGUGAUGACAACAAAAUUACACAAAACUUAUCAAUGGAAAUCAAAUUUAUCAACCCAUGGAGGUCUGAAAAUGAAAGUGGAAAACCACACUACAGGCUGAUCCAACUUUGAUGUAAUGUCAUUAAAACAAGUCAAAAUGAGGCUCAGUAGUGUGUGUGGCCUCCACGUGCCUGUAUGACCUCCCUACAAUGCCUGGGCAUGCUCCUGAUGAGGUGGCGGAUGGUCUCCUGAGGGAUCUCCUCCCAGACCUGGACUAAAGCAUCCGCCAACUCCUGGACAGUCUGUGGUGCAACGUGGCGUUGGUGGAUGGAGAGAGACAUGAUGUCCCAGAUGUGCUCAAUUGGAUGCAGGUCUGGGGAACGGGUGGGCCAGUCCAUAGCAUCAAUGCCUUCCUCUUGCAGGAACUGCUGACACACUCCAGCCACAUGAGGUCUAGCAUUGUCUUGCAUUAGGAGGAACCCAGGGCCAACCGCACCAGCAUAUGGUCUCACAAGGGGUCUGAGGAUCUCAUCUCAGUACCUAAUGGCAGUCAGGCUACCUCUGGCGAGCACAUGGAGGGCUGUGCGGCCCCCCAAAGAAAUGCCACCCCACACCAUGACUGACCCACCGCCAAACCGGUCAUGCUGGAGGAUGUUGCAGGCAGCAGAACGUUCUCCACGGCGUCUCCAGACUGUCAUGUCUGUCACAUGUGCUCAGUGUGAACCUGCUUUCAUCUGUGAGGAGCACAGGGCACCAGUGGCGAAUUUGCCAAUCUUGGUGUUCUCUGGCAAAUGCCAAACGUCCUGCACGGUGUUGGGCUGUAAGCACAACGCCCACCUGUGGACGUCGGGCCCUCAUACUACCCUCAUGGAGUCUGUUUCUGACCGUUUGAGCAGACACAUGCACAUUUGUGGCCUGCUGGAGGUAAUUUUGCAGGGCUCUGGCAGUGCUCCUCCUGCUCCUCCUUGCACAAAGGCGGAGGUAGCGGUGCUGCUGCUGGGUUGUUGCCCUCCUACGGCCUCCUGAUGUACUGGCCGGUCUCCUGGUAGCGCCUCCAUGCUCUGGACACUACGCUGACAGACACAGCAAACCUUCUUGCCACAGCUCGCAUUGAUGUGCCAUCCUGGAUGAGCUGCACUACCUGAGCCACUUGUGUGGGUUGUAGUAGACUCCGUCUCAUGCUACCACUAGAGUGAAAGCACUGCCAGCAUUCAAAAGUGACCAAAACAUCAGCCAGGAAGCAUAGGAACUGAGAAGUGGUCUGUGUUCACCACCUGUAGAACCACUCCUUUAUUGGGGAUGUCUUGCUAAUUGCCUAUAAUUUACACCUGUUGUCUAUUCCAUUUGCACAACCGCAUGUGAAAUGUAUUGUCAAUCAGUGUUGCUUCCUAAGUGGACAGUUUGAUUUCACCGAAGUGUGAUUGACUUGGAGUUACAUUGUGUUGUUUAAGUGUUCCCUUUAUUUUUUUGAGCAGUGUAUAUAUGGCUCUGAUCCGGAGCAUGUUAUUGCAGUAGUGGAAAAAGUACCCAAUUAUCAUACUUGAGUAAAAGUAAACAUACCUUAAUACAAAAUGACGUGAGUAAAAGUAAAUGUAAUUGCUCAAAUAUACUUAAAUAUCAAAAGUGAAAGUAUAAAUAAUUUCAUAUUCCUUAAAAUAAGCAAACCAGAUGGCAAAAUGUUUUUUUUUUUUAUAGUCAGGUCACACUGCUAAAUAGUAAAUUAAAGUACAGAUACCCCCCAAAAUGACUUCAUUAGUACUUUAAAGUAUUUUUUUACUUAAGUAAUUUACACAACUGUGUUAUUGUAAAGCUAAGACAUUUAGUUAACCAAUCGGCUCAGACUAAGAUCUGUCUGUAACUAGUCUGGGCUACUUUGACUAGUUACUAUUCACUUGCUCAUGAAAAUAUCUGCACUUCCCCCAUAUUAAACUAACACCGUAGCAUCAUCAGAGAGAAAGUUUUUUGAGAGAGAGCUGUUGGAUUCUUAGAAAUGCUCCUUAUGUGGGAUCUAAAUACUUAUUUGAUUUAACCCUUAUUUUGACAGGGAGUCAUGCUGAGACCAGGGUUUAUUUUACAGAUGAGCCGUGUAAUUUAAAAAAUACACUGAAAAGCAAAAAAAUAUUAAAGUUACAAAGGAAAGACCAGGUGGAGAGGAUUAGGUUCUCUGACAGGGCCGCUGGAAAAAGACUGUUACACUUCAUUAUUUCAUGAACAUGUUUAAACACCUCAAAGGGAAUAAUGAGAUGUCCUAAAUCAACAAUGACGGUUAGAUGACUAAUGGACAUCUGUACUUGACUGAAUGGUCUACCACAUGAAAGGGGGCACUAUUAAAAUCCUACUUUAUGUGAAGGUGUUGUUGCUGUGGGUCCCAUGUGUUGUUGCUGUGGGUCCCAGGUGUUGUUGCUGUGGGUCCCAGGUGUUGUUACUGUGGGUCCCAGGUGUUGUUACUGUGGGUCCCAGGUGUUGUUACUGUGGGUCCCAGAUGUUGUUGCUGUGGGUCCCAGGUAGGUUGUUGCUGUGGGUCCCAGGUGUUGUUGCUGUGGGUCCCAGGUGUUGUUGCUGUGGGUCCCAGGUGUUGUUGCUGUGGGUCCCAGAUGUCCCAGAUGUUGUUGCUGUGGGUCCAAGGUGUCCCAGGUGUUGUUGCUAUGAGUCCCAGGUGUUGUUGUUGUUGUGGGUCCCAGAUGUUGUUGCUGUGGGUCACAGGUGUUGUUGCUAUGAGUCCCAGGUGUUGUUGUUGUUGUGGGUCCCAGAUGUUGUUGCUGUGGGUCACAGGUGUCCCAAGUGUUAUUGCGGUGCCAAGUUGAAACACUAACUUGAGAUC